rnacentral:rRNA from 1 species
CCCGCAACGAGCGUCCCCCUUAUCCUUUGUUGCCAGCGGUUAGGCCGGGAACUCAAAGGAGACUGCCAGUGAUAAACUGGAGGAAGGUUUCUGAUGACGUCUAGUCAUCAUGGCCCUUACGACCAGGGCUACACUCGUGCUACAAUGGCGCAUACUAAGAGAAUCGACCUCGCGAGAGUAAGCGGACCUCAUAAAGUGCGUCGUAGUCCGGAUUGGAGUCUGCAACUCGACUCCCUGAAGUCGGAAUCGCUUGUAAUCGUGGAUCAGAAUGCCACGGUGAAUACCUU